UACAGAGGGUGCGAGCGUUGUCCGGAAUCACUGAGCGUAAAGGGCGCGUAGGUGGCCUGAUAAGUAGGGGGUGAAAUCUCGAGGCUCAACUUCGAGGCUGCCUCCUAAACUGUCAGGCUUGAGCAGAGUAGAGGCAGGUGGAAUUCCCGGUGUAGCGGUGGAAUGCGUAGAGAUCGGGAAGAACAUCGGUGGCGAAGGCGGCCUGCUGGGCUCUUGCUGACACUGAGGCGCGACAGCGUGGGGAGCAAACAGG
rnacentral:rRNA from 1 species